rnacentral:lncRNA from 1 species
UUCAAUGUGCACAAUAGGUGCCAACCAUCCACCCCCUUAUUGCCUUAUGUGGAGGAUUCCUUUCCUCUUAAAGCAAGUCAAACUUGCCUUAUGUUGUGUAAAACAUCCCCCUUUUCAAUCCUUACUUCACUCCCUUGCUAAAACCUCCUCUCUUUCCAUAAGAUUUUGAUACAAUGAACCUAGUCAUGGUUGACCAACCUGCACACACCUUUUGUGCCAUCCACCACCCUCAUUUUCACCCUAAUCUCUAUUUUUU